GCUAAAUAAGAGCGUAUGGGGAAUGCCUUGGCUCUCAGAGGCGAUGAAGGACGUGAUAAGCUGCGAAAAGCUGCGGGGAUUGGCACAUACAAACUGAUCCGUAGAUAUCCGAAUGGGGCAACCCAGCAUGUUGAAGACAUGUUACACCGAAAGGUGAGCAAACCCGGAGAACUGAAACAUCUAAGUACCCGGAGGAGAAGAAAACAAAAGUGAUUCCGUUAGUAGUGGCGAGCGAAAGCGGAUUAGCCCAAACCAAUAUUGUUAAGGCAAUAUUGGGGUUGUAGGACUGCAAUAAUUGAACUGUAAUGAAUUAGAAUAGUUUGGAAAAACUAACCAAAGAGGGUGAUAGUCCCGUAUAAGUAAAGAACAGUAAGAUAGCAGUAUCCUGAGUAGUGCGGGACACGAGUAAUCCUGUGUGAAUCAGUCGGGACCAUCCGAUAAGGCUAAAUACUCCUGAGAGACCGAUAGUGAACUAGUACCGUGAGGGAAAGGUGAAAAGAACCCUGAAUAAGGGAGUGAAAUAGAUCCUGAAACCAUACGCUUACAAGCGGUCGGAGCAGCGUAAGUUGUGACGGCGUGCCUUUUGCAUAAUGAGCCUACGAGUUACCGUUGCUAGCAAGGUUAAGUGAUUAAGUCACGGAUCCGUAGCGAAAGCGAGUCUGAAUAGGGCGUUUUAGUUAGUAGUGGUAGACGCGAAACCGUGUGAUCUACCCAUGGGCAGGGUGAAGCUGUAGUAACAUACAGUGGAGGCCCGAACCGAUAUACGUUGAAAAGUGUUCGGAUGACCUGUGGGUAGGGGUGAAAGGCCAAUCAAACUCGGAAAUAGCUCGUACUCCCCGAAAUGCAUUUAGGUGCAGCGUUGAUUUAUAGUUUUAUAGAGGUAGAGCUACUGAUUGGAUGCGGGGGCUUCACCGCCUACCAAUUCCUGACAAACUCCGAAUGCUAUAAAAUGUUAAUCAGCAGUGAGGGCAUGGGUGCUAAGGUCCAUGUCCGAAAGGGAAACAACCCAGACCAUCAGCUAAGGUCCCCAAAUAUAUGUUAAGUUGAAUAAACGAGGUUGAACUGCUUUGACAGCUAGGAUGUUGGCUUGGAAGCAGCCAUUCAUUUAAAGAGUGCGUAACAGCUCACUAGUCGAGCGAUUGAGCAUGGAUAAUAAUCGGGCAUAAAGUAUAUUACCGAAGCUAUGGAAUUGUUAGCAAUAACAAAUUGGUAGGGGAGCAUUCUAGUCAGCGUUGAAGGUGUAUCGUAAGGUAUGCUGGAGCGUCUAGAAAAGAAAAUGUAGGAAUAAGUAACGAUAAGGCAGGCGAGAAACCUGCCCACCGAUAGACUAAGGUUUCCUGAUCAACGCUAAUCGGAUCAGGGUUAGUCGGGACCUAAGGCGAACCCGAAAGGGGUAGUCGAUGGAUAACAGGUUAAUAUUCCUGUACUAGCAUAUAUUGCGAUGGGGUGACGGAGUAGUGAAAGGUCUGCGUACUGACGGAAUAGUACGUUGAAGAGUGUAGGUAUUAGACUUAUAGGAAAAUCCGUAAGACUAGCUGAACUUGAUAGUACCAAGAGCCUUCGGGCAAUUGGAUAAUGACCCUAAUCAGACUUCCAAGAAAAACCUCUAAGCAUCAGAUAUAUGCUACUCGUACCGCAAACCGACACAGGUAGUCAAGGAGAGAAUCCUAAGGUGCUCGAGUGAUUCAUGGUUAAGGAACUAGGCAAAAUCGCCUCGUAACUUCGGGA
rnacentral:rRNA from 1 species